rnacentral:rRNA from 1 species
UACGUAGGGGGCAAGCGUUGUCCGGUUUUAUUGGGCGUAAAGAGCGUGUAGGCGGCCAGGUAGGUCUGCUGUGAAGACUCGAGGCUUAACCUCGAGCUGUCGGCGGAAACCAUCUGGCUAGAGUCCGGAAGAGGAGAAUGGAAUUCCCGGUGUAGCGGUGAAAUGCGUAGAGAUCCGGAAGAACACCGGUGGCGAAGGCGGUCUGCUGGGCAGUUGCUGACACUGAGGCGCGACAGCGUGGGGAGCAAACAGG